rnacentral:tRNA from 1 species
GUUGUGGCUCAGUGGUAGAGUACUUGCCUAGCAUGUGUGAGGCAUUGGGUUCGAUCCCCGGCACAAUA